rnacentral:rRNA from 1 species
GACGAACGCUGGCGGCGUGCUUAACACAUGCAAGUCGAACGGAAAGGCCCUGCUUUUGUGGGGUGCUCGAGUGGCGAACGGGUGAGUAACACGUGAGUAACCUGCCCUUGACUUUGGGAUAACUUCAGGAAACUGGGGCUAAUACCGGAUAGGAGCUCCUGCUGCAUGGUGGGGGUUGGAAAGUUUCGGCGGUUGGGGAUGGACUCGCGGCUUAUCAGCUUGUUGGUGGGGUAGUGGCUUACCAAGGCUUUGACGGGUAGCCGGCCUGAGAGGGUGACCGGCCACAUUGGGCCUGAGGUACGGCCCAGACUCCUACGGGAGGCAGCAGUGGGGAAUAUUGCACAAUGGGCGGAAGCCUGAUGCAGCAACGCCGCGUGCGGGAUGACGGCCUUCGGGUUGUAAACCGCUUUCGCCUGUGACGAAGCGUGCGUGACGGUAAUGGGUAAAGAAGCACCGGCUAACUACGUG